rnacentral:snRNA from 1 species
AUUGCUUCUCGGCCUUUUGGCUAAGAUCAAGUGUAGUAUCUGUUCUUAUCAGUUUAAUAUCUGAUACGCCCCCUAUCUGGGGGCCAUAUAUUAAAUGGAUUUUUAGAACAGGGAGAUGGAAGAAGAGCUUGCUCUGUCCACUCCACGCAUUGACCUGGUAUUGCAGUACCUCCAGGACCGGUGCACCAAAA